ACCAAGGGAACACGGUGACCCACAGUGUGUGGUUCCAUGAUGAAACUUCUGCAGGUGCAAAUCUGCUUUAAAAGGUUUCUGACCUUCCAGACAGCUUUUUUCUCUCCCUGGUGCUUCUCUCUAUCUUGUGCUUCAUGCAGCUGUUCCUUGGGAUACAUUCCAAACCAGAAGAGCAAUGUUGUUCAGGUGAAACUGCGGCUGGGAAGUUCAUGUGGCGGCCUUUUUGAAAGAAACCUUAGACUGAAGAGGCUCUGCCCCGUGCCUGCCCUCAAAGCUGUGGGAGGUUUGAUAAAUUCAAGUCGAGUGGAGACUUUUCCAUCCUUCAGCCGUGAAGCUGUCGCAGAUGCAGCCAGAUGUAUUUCCAGACCCUAACAGCCCCUCCGAGGCCUUCUUCAGCCUGACGUGUAAAAUGUAAUGGGGAUUGGUUUGAAGAGUGGAAUUUGACCUGAGAGAGAUGUCUGGGGCUGCUCAGGAAGAUCAGGGUGUCCCCAAGGGUGUUUGUCAGUAGAAAAGGGCUGGGGAGUCCUGUUGGCCACAAAUGCGACACCCGUGAGUGUGGGGGAGAUGCUUGUGUUAACAUGACCAUAAAUAUACGGACGAGAGACCAAAGCAGACUCACAGGAAAGCUGUUCAUGCUGGAAAACCAGGAGCCAAGAGCAAGGUGGCCACCCAAGCCAAGCUCCUCUGCUGCCAAGAAACCCCAGCCCUGCAGCAGGCACCCCAAGAGCAGGAGGGGGUGCUGUGGGACUGGCAGGCUCUGUCACUUUCUGUUUCUGUGGAACAGCCGAGAAUCCUGCCCUGCCCUGCCCUGCGCUGCCGUCUGCCUGCUUUGCGGUGUUGGCUGGUGGAGAUGUGGCUGUUCAUCGUGCUUGACCUCGGCCAGCCUCCCGGGCAGGGCCACGUGCUGAAGGGAACGAGGUGGACUCAGGGAUGGUGCCGGUCUUUCACACUUUUGUUUUUCCCUUUAGCUUAAAUUAUUCCCAGACGUGUGAACUCAGCAAACAAGGAUGAAGUUUUCUCCGCAAGGCGAGGUUUACUGCAGGCCUGGAAUAGUGCCUGAGCUUCCCAGCGGUCAGGAAAAAGCUUGCAGGGAGCAGAUAAGUGAUUCCUUUUGUAUUUUCCAUCCAUCAGAAAAAGCUGCAUCUGAAAAAAUAAUAGCUGAACUGGAAAAUAAAAUUAGACAAGUCUGAACAAAUAUGGAAACCAUCCCUGACCUGGUAUUGGAAAAGAGUCUCAAAUGUUAGAAAGGAGAGAAGCAGUGAGAGGGAAUGGAUGAGUUUUGGCCUCUGUUGAGUAUACGGAAGGAAUUAUUUCAUUCUCUAUUUGUUCUCUAUAUGGCACUCUGUCUUUGUCAUAAAUAUACGUAAUAGAAAGAAGUUUUUUCAGAGGUCCCAACCAAACCAUCUGUGUUGCAUCUGUGGCUUUGAAUAUGUAAAUAUUGUUAUUAGUAGUAGCAAAAGCAAUCAUAAUGGCAGCAGGAAUAGAAACACUAUUACCAGUUGCAGGACUGACGUUUUUAUUUGUAUUGCUGCAGGAGGUCGCAACACGCACUGAGAGUUUGAGUAAGAAGGAAAGGGUGGCUGUUACCCCCGGGGCAGUCGGGAGAAAAUUAUUCCCAGUGGGGUGACCUCAGCUCAGUGGCCCGAAAGCACCUGGAGACAGCUGGAAAAACUCCCCAGAAAAGCAGAGGGAAGACCUCGGGGCUGGGAGAGCAGAGGCCAGAAGCAGUCGCAAGAAGACCAGGUAGAACAGGAAGAAACAUAGAAUAAUUUUCGUUGGAAAAGACCUUUAAGAUCAUCAAGUCCAACUGCUAACCUAACACAGCCAAGUCCACCCCUAAUCCAUGUCCCUGAGAAGCUCAUCUACGUGUCUUUCAAACCCCUACGGGGAUGGUGAUCCACCACUUCCCUGGGCAGCCUGUUCUGAUGCUUGACAAUCGUUCCAGUGAAGAAAUUCUUCCCAAUAUCCAAUCUAAACCUCCCAGGUCAGACACCACGUGUGGGGAUUUGGAGGUGCCCAUGCGGGAAGCAGCACUUCAGAGAGGACAGGAGACAUGCAGUGAGAGGGAACUCUCCACCACACAAUGGUCUUGGAUCUGAUCCACGCGAUGUCUGGAGACACACAGGCUAGCGAAACACAUCUCAACACAUCCUUCUCACUCCAGAUCACGUUACCACGGCUGGAGCUUGAGGACUCAUUGAUAGUACAUGGUGCCCCUCAAACUUCACACUGCCUGUGUACAAGUUGGUUUCUGAAGCCAGUCUGGACAAGCAACAACAAGCCAAGGUGUGCUUGUGUGCCUUGAGGUGACAGUGUCAGCAGAGCAUGAGUGCCAAAUUCCAGCUGCAGCAGAGGUGGAGCGGGGAGGCUGAGGAAAACAUCUUCAUUGCAGUUUUUAAAGUACAUCUCUCUUAUCAUGCCAUUUGUAAUUAACGGACAUUCUGGGCCUGCUGAAGUCAGUAGCUUUGGUCCUUAAACUCCACAUGAGAAGGUCUGGAGGGGUUGGAUCCACCAGGAUGUGGUUGGCUGUGUGUUCCCAGCCUCGCUCUCUCCUGCGAUGCUUUCCUCCUCCCGUUGAGACUGUGUGUCUUGGCAGUGCCGUUUCCCCAUCUGAUCCUUAUCUCGGUUUUGGCUGCUGGACACGCAGGGCGCCGGGGCACGUUCCUGUUUGCAGCUGAACAGCACAUCUCCAGGGCUGAGCCGCAGGAAUGCGCUUCCUGAGGAGCUCGGCAUCUGAAACGGCAGCCUGCCUUUGGCAACGCAGCCCAGCUGGGACUACAGAAAAUGUUCCUGGGUACCUCAGGGCUGGGGGAAGCUAAAAGAGGCUCUCAAAAUCACAAAGGGAGAGAGAAGUCCGCCCUGGAAAAAGGAAGACAUGGUGUUCAGCAACGCUCACCACACACUCCAGGACAUUUUCUCUAAUUACAGUUGACACUUAGGAGGAGAUUCAGGGGACCAAACUGACCAACCUCAAUUCAGUUAUUGAUUAAAAUUCUAAUCCAAGAGCAGGCACCAGUGUUACCGCUGGCUGGGAUGGAGCCAGCUCGCCAGGCACCUGCACUUGUUUUGUGUUUGUUUACAGCCCAGAGAGCUUUCUCCUUGUGACGCCAGGCUGCACCCAUUUUCUUUUGUGUUACCCUAAUCCCGGGGAGUUUAUAUGCAAUGCUGGCAGCACUGGUGGUCACCCUGUGGCUCCAGUUUUCUGCACGUUUUAGGGUGACCUGGGGCUCCUGCAGCCCUCCUCCCACUGCCCGCCCUGCCCGUAGCAUCCUCUCGAUGGGGGGGUUGGCCAAGAUCUGUAAUUCUGAGCUGUGACAGGUGUCAGCACUGUGAAUUCACACACAGGAGGGUUUAUCCCUGUGCCCACACUUUGCAGGUGGAGGACACAACCCCAGAACCAACAAGCACCUUAUCUGGGCACGAGGAGCCACCUGAGCCCUGAUGUAACCCAAAUUUGACCCUUUUCUAGUCUGUUGGGCUCAGAGGACAGCAGCCUCCAUCCUUAAAUAAGCCAGGGUGAGGCAGCUUGCCCAGUGCCAGGGGAUCAGGAGGACAGCAGGGAGGAGCCCUUGGGAUUGGCCUUGGUUUCCAUUAGCUUGGUUUGCUGCCCUGCGAUUUUUAACUCAUUUACAUUGUCUGUGAAAGGAGAGUUUAUAAAUGCUUGUCACCAGGAGAACAAAGUUACAUAAUUAAACAAUUAACCAGAGAGUCUGCGGCUUCAGUGCAAUUCUCUGGGGUGAUUCGAUAUUCCGGUAAAAAUACUGGCUGAUACCAUAAAUAUUGUAAAUGGCUCUAGAUGGUUUCCAAGGGCUGUGUAAACUGUUUAUUGCUUUCAAAGAGAAAUGAAUAAGUGAAAUCACAGGGGAGACAAAUUUAAAUAAAUAAAAUAAUGGGGAAAAUAAAGCAAAAAUAUUUUCUUUUGUAUUUUGAAAACUCUGGAGGAUGUUUUUGGCCAGCAUGAAAGAAGGCCGUCAUAUUUACCAGAAUAACAAACCAAGGUAAUCUGUGUGCACUUGCUUAUAGGUUAUAUAUAUAUAUGUGUGUGUGAGGGCUGUGCAUGGGUGCUUAGAUAAAAUCUGCCCUCAACACGGGGAAAACCUCUUUCUUUAUCUGAUUGAUUGUGGUAUUUGCAAAUUCCAGCCAUGGAGCCCAAGAAUGCAUCUCUUUCCCUGGCCAAGCCGUGGGGCUUUGGCAGCCCCGCUGCGGCAAGGGCGGCUGAAGGAGGAUGCCGCGAGUGGGCAGAAUUGUGGGAUGGAUUACUCGUGCCAUUGAAAACUUGGGAAGGUUGUUUAAAAGUUGUUACUGAAGCAAGAUAAAUAUUUGCCAGGCAUGAUCCCACCAUGCAACAACAAGUAAGCUGU